rnacentral:tRNA from 1 species
GGGCUGGGGCUGAGUGGUAAAGCACUUGCCGAGAAAGUGUGAGGCGCUGGGUUCGAUCCUCAGCACCACA